rnacentral:lncRNA from 1 species
AGGAAAUAUUUCAUUCAUAUAAUGUCUCCUUUGUAAUCAACACUGAGAAAUGUCACUUUGAUUAAACACAACUCUGAAUGACUAAGACCACAGUACAAUAAAUUCUCCAGAGCUAUCUUUCAGAACAACUGAUUGCUCUCCAGUCUUAAUCCUCCAGAGUCUUAUUUAAUCAAAAUGAUGUUGCUAAUUAAGGAUUAAAACCUCCGAAUAGAAUAAAAAAGAAGGAUUUUUCUUUCUCCUUUGGGCAGGUCAAGGAGGCAGAAUUUGCUGCAAGGAAGUAAAGAGUCCCUUCUACCUUUGCCAGUGCUACUUACCAGUUAAAAAAAGACAUCGUUUUUUGUGAUCCAUACUCCUGAAGGCCAAAAGCACCCAGUGGACAGACGAUGGCUCUUACGCCUCCAAUGCCAAGGCAAAUGGUCAGCAGUGCUACAUAAAACAGCCUGUGCUGCUCUGUUUUUGCUGGAUGGAGCCUUCUUUGCCACAAACAGAGUUGAGAAAGCUGGGGACAGAGGAGUGUGAGUGGAAGGAGAGGGGACCUAAAGUGACAAAAGAAGAGGCUUUCACAAUGUAAAGACUAUAUGCCCUUAAUAGCUAUUUGGCAACAGAUUCAUUUACCAUGAGAUUCCAAAGUUGGGAUUUCCAUCCUGUCUGAUGACUGACCUCAGAAUUUAGACUGAUAGAAAUUACCAUGUUAAACAAGAAGUCAACAAAUGCUACUGGUGUGGCCUGUUACCAAGAACUAAAGCUGUGAAGUUUCCAGGUUUGACUUAAACUCCAAUGGAUUCUCUGAAUGGUAAUUUACCACCUGCCUGAGAUUGUGUGAUAUGUUGAGUACCUGAUAUCUAUCCAUCUCUUUCUCAUCUGUCCCCCUACCAAUACUCAUUUCAGCUGCACUUCUCAUUAUUGGUGAACAGCAUGCUAUAUUCCCAAGUUGCUCAGAUCAGAAACUUGGAGCUAAUUUUUGACCCCCAUCACAUUUGUACCUUUAUUUAGUUGCCUUACAGCUUUUCACUUGUUCUCUC